GGAGGAUCUGUCAAUAUAAAGUCAGUGAAGCAUGAGAUGUGAAAGUUUUUCAGUAGAUCUCAUUCUCUCUCUGGUAAAUUAUUAGUGCAUUUUAUUUCACAGACAAUGUAAUAGAGCUGCUGGAAACAAGAAACAAACAAGGUGAACAUUCAGUCAGCGCAAUGCAAAGAGUUAAAGGACAGCAACUGUUCAAAGGUUCAAAGAUCACCCUAUGUGGGGUUCAGUCAUGAUCACCAGCUGGAGAGCCCUUGAUAGUCACCAGAGGACACUCCACCCCAGACCAUUGCCACUCUAUCAUGGACUACAUUUCCCAAAACAGCCGUUACAUUCAGCUGUGUCUCAUUAAUCUUGUUAACUCUGUGUGUAUAAGCCUGGUUUACUCAGUCACUCUCUGUGAAGUCUUGUGUGUGUCAUCACUGCAUUUCUGAGCGCAACAUUGUUCAUCUGUUUCCCUGUUUUGACCCUUUUCUAGUGAUGGGCAGAUCGAGGGGUAACACUUUACAAUAACAGUACAUGAAUAACCAUGAACUAAUACCUAAAUUAAUAGUUACUUCCACAUGAACUCAUGAUUAGUUAAGAUAUGAACUAAUCAUGAACUAAUGAAGAGUGAUCCUCAACUACGACAAGAGUCAUAAGGAUUCAUGCAUGAAAACAGCAGCCUUAACUACGCGUUAAUACAUGUUUGAUAAUUAAUGCAUUAAUUAACAUUUAGGGUAAACUAAAUAAAUCAGCCUCCAUAAGAGUAAACAAGAAGUACUCUGAAUUUGAAUUAAACGUGAUUUAAUACUGUCAUAAUUUACACUGUAAUAUCAUAAUCUGCCAUCUGCAGCUUUGUGACAAAUAAUUGCAAUGGCACAUGAUUAUUUAGCCAUUAAUUACAUAGAUCUGUCUAAUCAAAUGUGGAAAAUAGACUAACUACCACUAAUAAAUUUAAUUUGAUCUAAACUGUUUUCUGAUUUUUACAGUUCAUUUAUAUUUAGUCAUAGCUAAAUAGUCAUAGUUUAUUCCCGGAACUAAAGUAUGUAGGGUUUGUUUCUGGUGGGACACUCAUUAGUGGCGCACGCUAGGUGUUCUCCUGGCGCAUUUGUUGUGUUGCUGGCAUUUUAAACUAAUAAAUGUUGACUGCUUUGGUAAGCCGAAUUAAUAAUUAAAGACAUAUUUACAUGUAUGUUUUAUUGGGAUUUUCAGGAGGUUAUGUACAGUUAUUAACUGUAUUUGUAUUUUUGUCAUUUAAAUGUAUAUGCUUUGAUUAGCAUUAGCUUGUGGACGCGCGCGAUUUUACAUGUAAAUGUGCCUUAUGUGUGUCUUUACUGGUAUGUUUAUGGCUUGCUUUCAAGUCCAUAUAUGUUUAAUUAUAUAAAUAAAAAUAAAAUACAAAUACUUUUUAUUUUAGUUUUUUUGUACCGGGGUGUAAAGGAAUAAGGAUGGCACUCUAUAGUAUUUAUUCAUAUAUUAGUUAAUGAUGUGUGAUAUGUGCAUCAUGUCAUGACUUUACUUGAGGGGGCACAAUUAUUAACUAAGCAUAUACUAACAUCAACUAAUGGUUUGUUAAUGUAUACUUAUGUCAUGACUUUACUUGAGGGGGCACAAUCAUAAUUAAUUCACUGUUAACUACUUACCAAAUUCAGCUCAUGAUUAUCAUUAACUUACUAUCAAAUACACAUGUACUAACACAACUAUAUAAGUAUUCAGCCCAGUUAAGGGAUGUUGUGUGACUUUUCAUAAAGUCAGAGAAUGGAGGUACAGUAUAUGAUCACGGCCUGCGUCUGGAUGGAGAGAGAACUUCUGAAUCUGAUCCCAGCAAACGCUCCCUGACCUUAGUUCAUGUUUCCUGUUUGGUUAUUUUUUUGGGAACCGAUUCCUCAGGAACUGAUGUAAGUCACAGUAGUUUAGUUUGAUAGGAAAGAAUAUCACAAAACAGAUUAAGACCUUUUAAGAUAAAUAGUGUAUUUAGUAUUUUAUAUGUUUGAUAAGGAGGAUUAGUGAAAAUAAUGGCAAACUAAUCAUGUGCCUUUCAGUAAUGUUUAUAAUGAAGCUGCUGAUGUCAGUAGUUUAAAUUCUGACAAUAAUAAAUUGUUUAAAUUUAUUUCAAAGUCCAAAUAUGUAUUAUUCCUUCUUAUAGAGACUGUUUGAUUUAGUUUACCCUAAAUGUUAAUUAAUGCAUUAAUUAUCAAACAUGUAUUAACGCGUAGUUAAGGCUUCUGUUUCCAUGCAUGAAUCCUUAUGACUCCUGUCGUAGUUUAGGAUCACUCUUCAUUAGUUCAUAUCUUAACUAAUUAUGAGUUCAUGUUGAAGUAACUAUUAACUCAGGUAUUAGUUCAUGGUUAUUCAUGUACUGUUAUUGUAAAGUGUUACCGAUCAAGGCUUCGUGAAACACUGAAGCAGUUGAAGCAAAUGUGCAGUAGUUGAAAUUUCGAGCUGCUUUGAAACGUUUUGAAACAGUGAUCACGUAAUGAAGCCUCGUUUACUGAAAUCACGUGACUUUGGCAGUUUGACACACGCUCCGAAUCACUGAUUCGAAACAAAAGAUUCGCAAAGCUUCGAAGCUUCAUGAAGCAGUGUUUUGAAAUCGUCCAUCUCUACCCUUUGUUCUCUGGAUUUGCCCUGUUUCUCUGUCUCUUGGUCUGCCUGAGUUCCUGUCCUGAUAUCUGUUUGGACUGUUUAUGAACUGCAGAAACAGAUGUGUCAAAAAACAACACACAUGGCUGUGUUGACAGCAUUUGACACAUGUUGUGUAGGAUUUUAACACUCAAUGUGUAGUUUUAAAAAACUGCCUUGGACAGAUUGGGCAGGCAGUUUGUGUUUAUGGAAAUAAAAACAAUACAUAUUCACAAGUUGACCAGCACACCAGAUCAUUAUAAACACCUAAAAGAGUGAAUUAUAAGUGAAAGAUUUAACGUGGAGCGUUUGCUUUGCUGCAUCAGGUUUGUUCACAGUGCCUGUGAUGUUUUUUGAGGUUGAUCAAGUGAAAUGUUGUCUGUCCUCAUCGCAUUACUUUCUACGGUAUAAAUUUUCUUCAAGGACGUUGUUAGAUUAACACUAAACUUAUUUUCAAGAAUUGGUUGAUGUUGACAGAGAUGAAGGUUUGACAGAUUUCACGUCAAGCACAGGAGCCCUACCACAAAUGCUGGAGAGUCCCGUCAAAUCCAGCAGUGGAGAUGAACCCAACUAUGGAAGUCAAAGGCUGCCGUCAACUGUCUGGUUACAGCAUUCUUUAAAAAUAUCUUUUAUGUUCAGCAGAAGAAAGAAACUCGCACAGGUUUGGAACAUGAGGCUCGAUAUUGAGCUUGGAUAAAUAACAGAUGGAAAGACUGAGAAGUUGAAAGCUGAAGCUACCCUGGAAAGGAGUAAUUUUCUCUUUUAGAGGGGAUGGAAGACCAAGAAGAUGUUAUGAAAGUGUGUCUUUACUUACACACACAUCUCUUGUUUAAUUUAUUAUAACAAAUAUUCAUUAAUAUGACUUGACGUGAAGGAGGACAGAUGCAGGUAAUUGCACAUGUCGAUCUCUGACUAAUAAUGGUACAUAAUAAUACAUAAUAAUGGUAAUGGUUCACAAAGUCUUAAUGAAAAAAAAAAAACCCUCUUCACUCUUACUAACUUAUUUAACCAUAAAAACAUGCAUUGAGUGUAAAAUGAGGAGGGUUUAGCCUUAAAAAAUAAAUAAGCUUAAUGGUUCCAGCUAGGGCUGGGCGAUAUAUCUCAUGCGAUUGUCACGCGCAUUUCGUC